UCAAAAGUCUUCAGUCUCUUUCAACCUUUCACGGUGAUUAGAGGCUAGGGAAUGUGUGCGCCAGGGGACGUACCCAGGCAGUGAAGACUAGAGUGAAGUGAGAGUCAUCUUCAGCUUGUUUUCAGUGUUUGUGGGGAUACUUUAUGCACCCUUAAGUUCUUAAACACCCAAUGUAACAUGCUGGUUGGUCGUAUAACAUAGUUACAAGGUGUACGGUAGUGUCGCUGGGCGAUCUUUCGAUACUAAUUCUUUUUGUUUCAGCGUUUGUUUACAUCAAUUCGGCAUUUUCCGUAAGGGAAGAGUUUCUUUGCUCUAUUAAGCAGCAAACAGCAGGGACAAAGAAAAAAAGCAAACAUAAACACACUCUCUCUCUCUCUUUCCCUCUCCCUUAAAAACAUAUGUCAGUUAUCUCUCUCUCUCUCUUUCUAUAUAUGCAUAUAUCCAUACAUAUAUGUACAUACCUACAUCUAUAUGUAUACAUAUGGGUACAGGGCAUCACAACACAAAAAAAAACGUUAAACUAUAUAUAUAUAUGUACACACACACACACACACACACACACACACACACACAUAUAUAUAUACAUACAUACAUAUAUACACACCAAACUUUAUAUCAUUACCUCUCUCCCUCUCUCUCUAUAUAUACAUACAGAUAGUGAGAUAGAGAGAGAGUAUGUUUAUGUUUGCUUUUUUUCUUUUUCCUUGUUUGCUGCUUACCACAGCAAGUCUUAGCAUACCAACAUCAAAAGAAAUCGCGCCCUCUAUCUCUUUCGCGUCCUUUCCAUCUUCCCUUACGAAAACUGCCGAAUUGAUGUAAACAAUCCCAUGUGGUCGCUUUGGCAGUUACCAAAUUAGUAUCGAAGGUAUGCCUAACCGUAUGAACUUUUAGCCAGGCGAUUCCAGUGCAGGAAACCUGGGGGGCCCAACCAGAAGCAUUCCUCACUCACCGUACAUUCCCGCAGAAUAAUUUAUCCUAAAUAAUUCUGUGACAGCAAAGAGAAAUAACAAUAACGUUAAAUAACAAACAAAAUGAUAAACAGGAAAUGAUUAUCACUUAAAUAAUUCAUGCGUAUAUCAACAGAAUAUAAUUAUGAAUAUGAACUGCAAAAUGUCUUAUGGUUAAGCUGGUUCCCAUGCAUUUCCCUGAAGAGAAGAUUAGUUUCUUAUCAACAUCAUCUAUUCCUAUGGAAGGUAUAAUUUGUAAUCUUCGAAACAUAUGUUGGAAAUAAAAGAAUUCAUUUAA